rnacentral:rRNA from 1 species
UACGGGGGGUGCGAGCGUUGUUCGGAAUUACUGGGCGUAAAGGGCGCGUAGGCGGCCUGCUAAGUCGGACGUGAAAUCCCUCGGCUCAACCGAGGAACUGCGUCCGAUACUGGUGGGCUUGAAUCCGGGAGAGGGAUGUGGAAUUCCAGGUGUAGCGGUGAAAUGCGUAGAUAUCUGGAGGAACACCGGUGGCGAAGGCGGCAUCCUGGACCGGUAUUGACGCUGAGGCGCGAAAGCUAGGGGAGCAAACGGG